rnacentral:rRNA from 1 species
GACGAACGCUGGCGGCGUGCCUAAUACAUGCAAGUAGAACGCUGAAGGAGGAGCUUGCUCUUCUGGAUGAGUUGCGAACGGGUGAGUAACGCGUAGGUAACCUGCCUGGUAGCGGGGGAUAACUAUUGGAAACGAUAGCUAAUACCGCAUAACAUUGACUAUUGCAUGAUAGUCAAUUGAAAGGUGCAAAUGCACCACUACCAGAUGGACCUGCGUUGUAUUAGCUAGUUGGUGGGGUAACGGCUCACCAAGGCUACGAUACAUAGCCGACCUGAGAGGGUGAUCGGCCACACUGGGACUGAGACACGGCCCAGACUCCUACGGGAGGCAGCAGUAGGGAAUCUUCGGCAAUGGACGGAAGUCUGACCGAGCAACGCCGCGUGAGUGAAGAAGGUUUUCGGAUCGUAAAGCUCUGUUGUAAGAGAAGAACGAGUGUGAGAGUGGAAAGUUUCACACUGUGACGGAUCU